rnacentral:rRNA from 1 species
UACGGAGGGUGCGAGCGUUGUCCGGAAUCAUUGGGCGUAAAGGGCGCGUAGGUGGCCUGCUAAGCGUGCGGUGAAAGCUCGGGGCUCAACCCCGAGUCGGCCGUGCGAACUGGUGGGCUUGAGCACUGUAGAGGCAGGCGGAAUUCCGGGUGUAGCGGUGGAAUGCGUAGAGAUCCGGAAGAACACCGGUGGCGAAGGCGGCCGUGCUGGGCAGUAGCUGACACUGAGGCGCGACAGCGUGGGGAGCAAACAGG